rnacentral:lncRNA from 1 species
AAUGAUUUAAAAUUUUUUGUGCAUAAUACAACUCAUUUAUCAAAUAAGAUACAAAUUGGAAGCUUAACAUGUGGAACAAAUGCAGGUAUUAUAAAUAGAGCUCCUUUGAUAGAGGUAUGGAGGGAAGAAAGCCUUUGCCUCCUCUCCUCCAAAUAAAAGCAACUCAGCACAGCUUAAAUGGUGUGGGGACUCCACAUCCCAGUCUUCAGCAAGGUACAGAAACUCCACGGGCUUCUAUUGUCUGUCUGUCAGAUGAAGGGUUUGACCUGAAACUUCAAAGCCCCUUACUAUUCUCAAAGUCUACAAUAAUGUGACCCUAAAACAACUAACACCAAGUCUAGUAGCUCUUGGUUUCUAGAUGUUUACCAGUCACCCAAGAGCUUAAGGAAUGAGAUCAAAACAGGACUUAAGCUAAACAGACUUUUCCCAAACCUGUAAGGUAAAUAGCAAACUCUGGAUGAAAAUAGCAGGGCUUAUAUCAAAGCCAGUGAAAACGUCUGAAUAAAGGGCAUCUGGUUUCCACUGAUCUUUCUUAUCUUUUAGAUAAAAGUACUUAAUGGGCCAUAAAUACAAACAAAGGAUCUGCCUCUCCCAAGGAGGAAGGCAGUACAGACCUCCCUUCCAGGUGGCAGCAUCUCACAGAAAAGCAGAACAAUGGGGCUUCUUCGAGACAAAGAACUGGCUGCUAGUUGGAACCACAUGGGACAGGCUAAGUACACACUACGCAAACUCUUAGUUGCAGCAUAGGGCAUCUAGGCUCCUAACCAGGGGUCAGACUCAGGCCCCCUGCAUUAGGAGCAUGGUUUUAGCCACCUGACUACCAGGGAAGUUCCUAAAUUAAGCAUAGGUUAAUCUGAAUUAAUCCUGGCAUGUGAUAGGUAAAAGAUGAUAUAUGAUUAACCAAUGCUAAGAGUUCUCAUCAAGGAAAAAAUUCUCUUUUUCUUUGCUUUCUUCUUUUAUUGUAUCUACAUGAGAUAGCAGAUACUAACUAACUGUGGUUAUCUGCUAUUCACCUUAAACGUAUGCAGUGAUAUAUGUCAGUAUCUCAAUAAAAC